UACGUAGGGGGCAAGCGUUGUCCGGAAUUAUUGGGCGUAAAGAGCUCGUAGGUGGCUUGUCACGUCGGGUGUGAAAGCUUGGGGCUUAACUCCAGGUCUGCAUUCGAUACGGGCUGGCUAGAGGUAGGUAGGGGAGAACGGAAUUCCUGGUGUAGCGGUGAAAUGCGCAGAUAUCAGGAGGAACACCGGUGGCGAAGGCGGGUCUCUGGGCCGUUACUGACGCUGAGGAGCGAAAGCGUGGGGAGCGAACAGG
rnacentral:rRNA from 1 species